GCUUGUCUCAAAGAUUAAGCCAUGCAUGUCUAAGUAUAAGCCUUUACACGGUGAGACUGCGAAUGGCUCAUUAAAUCAGAAACUGUUUAUUUGAUAGUGCCUACUACUUGGAUAACCGUAGUAAUUCUAGAGCUAAUACAUGACCAGAGGCGCGCCCGCGCCGCAUUUAUUAGAUACAACCAGCCCUCCGGGCCUUGGCGAGUCAUAAUAACUGAGCUGACCGUAUUCGUACGGCGUUUCUUAUUAAUUUCUGCCCUAUCAGCUUUCGAUGGUAGGGUAUUGGCCUACCAUGGCGUUAACGGGUAACGGAGAAUUAGGGUUCGAUUCCGGAGAGGGAGCCUGAGAGAUGGCUACCACAUCCAAGGAAGGCAGCAGG
rnacentral:rRNA from 1 species